rnacentral:misc_RNA from 1 species
GUAUAUUUAACUUUAUAGGUACAAAAAGGACCUGAUUCAACAUUCUAAACAGGUUUCAUAGGUUUGUGAAAAUGACAUCGACCUGAAAAAUACAAGGGAAAGCCGACUCUUUUUAAGCACAGCAGUCCCCCAACUCGAAAACAAUCGAUUCGAAGAACCCUUCAGGUCGACAAUGAGUGCACAGUUGGAGAAAUAAAGAUGACAGGCGUGCACAUGCGCCCCAAGGGACGCCAGCAGCAGCCCGUUCAAGUUUAUUCAAUAAUGAUCCUUCCGCAGGUUCACCUACGGAAA